AGAGUUUGAUCCUGGCUCAGGAUGAACGCUAGCUACAGGCUUAACACAUGCAAGUCGAGGGGCAUCAGGAAGAAAGCUUGCUUUCUUUGCUGGCGACCGGCGCACGGGUGAGUAACACGUAUCCAACCUGCCCUUUACUCGGGGAUAGCCUUUCGAAAGAAAGAUUAAUACCCGAUGGCAUAAUGAUUCCGCAUGGUUUCAUUAUUAAAGGAUUCCGGUAAAGGAUGGGGAUGCGUUCCAUUAGGUUGUUGGUGAGGUAACGGCUCACCAAGCCUUCGAUGGAUAGGGGUUCUGAGAGGAAGGUCCCCCACAUUGGAACUGAGACACGGUCCAAACUCCUACGGGAGGCAGCAGUGAGGAAUAUUGGUCAAUGGGCGGUAGCCUGAACCAGCCAAGUAGCGUGAAGGAUGAAGGCUCUAUGGGUCGUAAACUUCUUUUAUAUAAGAAUAAAGUGCAGUAUGUAUACUGUUUUGUAUGUAUUAUAUGAAUAAGGAUCGGCUAACUCCGUGCCAGCAGCCGCGGUAAUACGGAGGAUCCGAGCGUUAUCCGGAUUUAUUGGGUUUAAAGGGAGCGUAGGUGGACUGGUAAGUCAGUUGUGAAAGUUUGCGGCUCAACCGUAAAAUUGCAGUUGAUACUGUCAGUCUUGAGUACAGUAGAGGUGGGCGGAAUUCGUGGUGUAGCGGUGAAAUGCUUAGAUAUCACGAAGAACUCCGAUUGCGAAGGCAGCUCACUGGACUGCAACUGACACUGAUGCUCGAAAGUGUGGGUAUCAAACAGGAUUAGAUACCCUGGUAGUCCACACAGUAAACGAUGAAUACUCGCUGUUUGCGAUAUACAGUAAGCGGCCAAGCGAAAGCAUUAAGUAUUCCACCUGGGGAGUACGCCGGCAACGGUGAAACUCAAAGGAAUUGACGGGGGCCCGCACAAGCGGAGGAACAUGUGGUUUAAUUCGAUGAUACGCGAGGAACCUUACCCGGGCUUAAAUUGCAGUGGAAUGAUGUGGAAACAUGUCAGUGAGCAAUCACCGCUGUGAAGGUGCUGCAUGGUUGUCGUCAGCUCGUGCCGUGAGGUGUCGGCUUAAGUGCCAUAACGAGCGCAACCCUUAUCUUCAGUUACUAACAGGUCAUGCUGAGGACUCUGGAGAGACUGCCGUCGUAAGAUGUGAGGAAGGUGGGGAUGACGUCAAAUCAGCACGGCCCUUACGUCCGGGGCUACACACGUGUUACAAUGGGGGGUACAGAAGGCAGCUAGCGGGUGACCGUAUGCUAAUCCCAAAAUCCUCUCUCAGUUCGGAUCGAAGUCUGCAACCCGACUUCGUGAAGCUGGAUUCGCUAGUAAUCGCGCAUCAGCCACGGCGCGGUGAAUACGUUCCCGGGCCUUGUACACACCGCCCGUCAAGCCAUGGGAGCCGGGGGUACCUGAAGUACGUAACCGCAAGGAUCGUCCUAGGGUAAAACUGGUGACUGGGGCUAAGUCGUAACAAGGUAGCCGUACCGGAAGGUGCGGCUGGAACACCU
rnacentral:rRNA from 1 species